UCGUUCUCUUGUACUGAACCCACGUCCCA
rnacentral:piRNA from 1 species